rnacentral:lncRNA from 7 species
CCUGAAACACCUGCACCUGCCUGCAGUGCACCCAUGGCCCCGGGAGGAAUGGAUGUGAGCUUUGUCACUGCCCUGGCUGUGCUGGCGGCUGCAGUGAGCCUGACAUCCUAGCUUUAUUUCCUGAGGCCUUUAACUGUUGCACGAAAAUUUCAGAAGAAAUUCCUAAAGGAAUUCUCCGAAGAGUGGAGAGAUUUGAAAUCCAGAAAUAUGAUGGCCUGUGUCACCUACACGCUGUUAUAUUUUGGAAGAUACUAUAAUUGUGGAAACCUUAGAUACCAACAUUUACCAUAUCUGACACCAGACAAAACCAAACUGAUGUAAUAUACGAUUAAGCAUUUUAAUGAUGAUUUCAUAUUUGUUAAGUAUGAUAGGUUUUUGUUGUUGUUUUGUUUGGUUUACAUUUUUUCUCUGACAACUGAUUUUUGCUCUGUCAGUCUCCACAUAGAAGGCAGAAAGUUCUGUGUAAGCCCACGGAUUAAAAGACUUAAAAAAUGGAUGAAGAAGAAUAAACACAAGAUCCCCAGAAAAAAACAUCAUGGAAGAAGACAGAGAAGAACCAAAAUAUUGAAAAAAGAGAAUAGACAGUAACAUGAAGCAAGCCCCAUAAUGAAGGUACCUGUGGCACACAGAACUGUGAACAAAGGUACCAGACUGCAUCAAGGAUGGGUGAUUAUACCAUUAAAAUGACCUUUCAAAUAUCUGCGUGCUGGAGGCACCAUUACCUGUAUGCAAGAUUAAUGCUGGGCCAACUACAAACAAAAUGGCAUGGUGUUCCUGAAAGUGUCUUGCAGCAAGUGCUCUGCUGUACCUCCUAGAUCUAUGGAUACACUUAAAUCCUCCCCUCUCCAACUCUGCUUUCAUUGUUACCUCCCUGCGAUUUUUACUAAACAUGCCAAUAUUCCUUCUCAGCACUCCAUUUAUCUAAGUUCCUUUUUGUCCCUGCUGGCAUUUUUUUCUCUUUUAUUUUUCUGUGCAAUACCUUUGUGCUGUUGCCUCUUUUGUUUCUACCCUUUCAGUCACUAAUUAUGAUUUUUUUUCUUAUGUACUUUUAAUAUAUACUACUUUCCAGAUACUACAUCAUGUUGGCCAAAAAAACAUCCUUUGCCUAUUCCAAACACUCUCUGCUCUCAGCCAUCGUUAUCACUGGAAACACCAUCCAAAGCUAUGCAGUAAAGAUAACCCCUAUUGCUUUUGUUCAUUUUGUUCCCUCUUCUUUACUGCAUUUGAUAAAUUAGUUCCUCAGAGUUAUCUCUAGUAUUGUUUUUUCAUUUUAUGUCUAACUUUAUACUGCAAACAUGGGAGAAUGCUUGGCAGAUGACAAUAGACAGAAUAAGCUGUUAAUAAAUUCUCUAAGUAAAAUAAAGAUGAACAUCUGUAGCAAGGUCACCAGAGAAUGAAUAGCAUAUUCCCACAGAGACACAUCUGAUGAAAGGAACUCCUUCCAAAACAGAUAAGAGAAAACAAGAAGCAUAAUUAUAAUCUCUGAUGAGCCAACAGUGUCCUUACAGAGAUGAGGCAACUCAUCUUCCAGUUUCUAGGGAAUAUUGUGUACUGGCACAGCUCCACCCUGCUGCCAGGAGAAGGAGCCGCGAAUGUUCAGAUCAUACACAGGAGCUCUUCAUCCCCACUGCCUUGUGCUGCACGAUGGGGUGGCUUGGCUGAUACAAACUGAAAUGACUUGAUUUAGCCAUUUCAUUUGCAUCCUGAUGCUGCACUAGGUGCAUGCCAUACGUACACAGCAAAUGUGUAUUAGAACACAAACCUAAUGGGCCCAGGUCAGAAGAGUGCCAUGAAUACUAAAUUGCUGCAAAUAUAUUACACUGUUUUGUCAAUUUCUUUUCUUCCUUGUGCUCUAAUGAUUCCAAAUUUUACCUGCAUUCCUCUCUCUUGAGUAACAGAUUUCCAGGAGGGUUGAUGAUGGUGUCUCAGCUCCUCGUAUUCUUUCCAUCAACACAAGCAGUGGUUUUAGUGCAUGUGGGGUUUACCUAAGUUUGGAGUGAAGUACUGACUGUACCCUAAUUUCCAUGACUGUUCUAUCGGAGAUAUUCAGUAUAUUCAGAAAAACAGCUAAUUGGGAUAUAAAUGUAGUUCUGUAGUUCUUAAUAAUUGAAAUUGCUACAAUGCCACAGAUAUUGUAAGACCCAGAGAGAUCUGCAACUUAAAUGCAAUUGCAACAUUUGCCUUUAUCAAGCUACUUUAAAAAACAGACUUUGAUAGUUUUGCUUAUAUCUUUCAGUUCUUCAGAGUGUUUGUUAUCUCAUAUUAAGUUCUCUUGGAUACCGUAGAUCAAAUUGAGAGAUUACAAGAAGACAGUUGUCAUCUCCAAGCUGACAAGUGUAUUUUGGUUGGGCUCCUGUGGAUUCUUUUGGAAAUUGAAUUAGGAAUAACUUCUUCUAAUCAUUCAAUGUAAAAAACUUUCCACAACAUUGGUAUAUAAAAUAUCAAGACAACACUUUGGUAGAGAUUCAUUUAUCCCUGAACCCUGACACACAAAUACGGCAAAGAAGAACUUUCCAGUUAGCAAACCUUCAUUUAGGAUAUGUCACACUCUCUUAUACCUGAGUGUUGUUUUUGACCUUUGCUAUUUUGUACUUGGCAACAAAAUAAAAUCAAUAUAUUUUUUUU